AAGAUAUAUAUAAAAAAGCUUCUAACUUUUAUUUUAAGUGGUUUAAUUCCAUUAAUAUCUUA
rnacentral:tRNA from 1 species